UGAGCUGCUUUAGGGACCACUGGU
rnacentral:piRNA from 1 species